GGUCGCGCGCUGGAGUUGGCCGAACCUCUAUAGCCGCCUUCCCGAGCUCCUCAUCACUUCCACGCCCUCGACGCCACCUCCUCCCAACCAUUGGCACCUCCUAGCAGAGAUCUGCGUGAUGGGGUCGCCGGGGAGCGCGCGCCGUCCAGAGAGACAAGGCAGCUCCCAAGCACAGGAUCCAGCAGCGCUGGCUUCUCCUCUCCUGCGCCGCCGUUGUCCACCCAUCCUCAUCCCGUGCAAGCAUGAGCUUCUCCGGCAUCGGCGGUGGCCUGCAGUCAAAGGACGACUGCGGCGGCGCUCGAUUCGAUCUACAGGAGAGAGAGAAGAUAUGAGGGAGAGAGAGAAGGAAGGAGAGGAAGGAUAAAGACAAAGGAAAGAGGAGAGGGGGGUGCGGCUGCGGACAUGAGAGGGCCACUGGAACGAGCACCGCUGGCUCGUCAUCCUACACAUCGCUCUGGAGAAAGAGGAGAGGGAGGUGCGGCGGCGGAUGGGAGAGGGUCACCGCAAGGAGCUCCGCCUGCUCGGGGUCGUUCACAUCGUGAUGGGGCAGAGAUACUUCUGUACAACCCUCAUGCCCUCAGAGUACACAAGUGGUUUCCCCUGAGGUCUCCUCCUUGCCCGGCUUGUUCAUUAAGAUCAGCAGGGGGAGGUUUAGGGUGACACCUUCAAGAUGGAUUUGUUGUUGUUAUUAUUUCAGUUUGCGGAUAGAGGAUGUGGUUCCAGCAAGACAAAAAUGACGGUGAUGACAAGUGAGAUUUAUGUUAAGGAGUAUUAGCAGAUGCUCACAGGAUCACUGGAAGUAUAUAAAGGGCCGAAUUAUGCCAUUGUUGAUGGUGCACAGGUCUGUUGCAUGGUAAACCCAGUAUUGGCCGUCCUUUCAAGCUCCUUUGUUCAUCCUAGAGAAAAAACUGGAAAAUACAUAUGAACUAUAUUUUAAUCUUUCUAUAGUGCAUUGCUACGAUUACAUAUAUGGAUACAUCAUUUCGAUGUGUCAGGAGACCUAAAGCCUUUUAAGAGUUAACCGCCAAACUGGGGACUGGUGUCAUAAUUGCAGAUGGGCUUUGUUCAGUUAUUUUUUUGGGGCCUAGAACGAUGAUGUUUGCAGAUGGGCUUUAUUCUGUCAUAAGAGCUUAUCGAUCCAGCUUGCAUAGUUUUGUUUCUUCAGUGUACUGUGUCUGAGAAAAACAUAUGUUGUUUCCUGUUUGUUCAUGGUCGAGAUGGACGGAUUUUUGUUGUGUGGGCUGGAGGUGGAUUUCUGUUGUGUGGGCUGGAGGUUCUUGAGGUAGGGCACCAGCACCAGCUAAGCUUUCAUUCUGGCGAAAUGUAUGACAUGAUUGAUGAGCAUGCAUAUCUAUAUGGUUUUGUGGACA